AGAGUUUGAUCCUGGCUCAGAACGAACGCUGGCGGCAGGCCUAACACAUGCAAGUCGAGCGCGCCUUCGGGUGAGCGGCGGACGGGUUAGUAACGCGUGGGAACGUGCCCUUCUCUACGGAAUAGCCUCUGGAAACGGAGAGUAAUACCGUAUACGCCCUUUGGGGGAAAGAUUUAUCGGAGAAGGAUCGGCCCGCGUUAGAUUAGGUAGUUGGUGGGGUAACGGCCUACCAAGCCUACGAUCUAUAGCUGGUUUUAGAGGAUGAUCAGCAACACUGGGACUGAGACACGGCCCAGACUCCUACGGGAGGCAGCAGUGGGGAAUCUUAGACAAUGGGGGCAACCCUGAUCUAGCCAUGCCGCGUGAGUGAUGAAGGCCUUAGGGUCGUAAAGCUCUUUCGCCUGUGAUGAUAAUGACAGUAGCAGGUAAAGAAACCCCGGCUAACUCCGUGCCAGCAGCCGCGGUAAUACGGAGGGGGUUAGCGUUGUUCGGAAUUACUGGGCGUAAAGCGCGCGUAGGCGGAUUAGAAAGUUGGGGGUGAAAUCCCGGGGCUCAACCCCGGAACUGCCUCCAAAACUGCUAGUCUAGAGUUCGAGAGAGGUGAGUGGAAUUCCGAGUGUAGAGGUGAAAUUCGUAGAUAUUCGGAGGAACACCAGUGGCGAAGGCGGCUCACUGGCUCGAUACUGACGCUGAGGUGCGAAAGUGUGGGGAGCAAACAGGAUUAGAUACCCUGGUAGUCCACACCGUAAAC
rnacentral:rRNA from 1 species